UACGUGGGGUGCAAACGUUGCUCGGAAUCAUUGGGCGUAAAGCGCGCGUAGGCGGUUACUUAAGUCGAAUGUGAAAGCCCUCGGCUUAACUGAGGAAGUGCAUCCGAAACUGAGUAGCUAGAGUACGAAAGAGGGUCGCGGAAUUCCCGGUGUAGAGGUGAAAUUCGUAGAUAUCGGGAGGAACACCGGUGGCGAAGGCGGCGACCUGGGUCGAGACUGACGCUGAGGCGCGAAAGCGUGGGGAGCAAACAGG
rnacentral:rRNA from 1 species